rnacentral:rRNA from 1 species
UACGAAGGGGGCUAGCGUUGCUCGGAAUCACUGGGCGUAAAGCGCACGUAGGCGGCUUUUUAAGUCAGAGGUGAAAUCCUGGAGCUCAACUCCAGAACUGCCUUUGAUACUGGAGAGCUUGAGUCCGGGAGAGGUGAGUGGAACUGCGAGUGUAGAGGUGAAAUUCGUAGAUAUUCGCAAGAACACCAGUGGCGAAGGCGACUCUCUGCC